rnacentral:rRNA from 1 species
AGAACGAACGCUGGCGGCAUGCCUAAUACAUGCAAGUCGAACGAAGGCUUCGGCCUUAGUGGCGCACGGGUGCGUAACGCGUGGGAAUCUGCCCCUUGGUUCGGAAUAACAGUUGGAAACGACUGCUAAUACCGGAUGAUGACGAAAGUCCAAAGAUUUAUCGCCAAGGGAUGAGCCCGCGUAGGAUUAGCUAGUUGGUGAGGUAAAGGCUCACCAAGGCGACGAUCCUUAGCUGGUCUGAGAGGAUGAUCAGCCACACUGGGACUGAGACACGGCCCAGACUCCUACGGGAGGCAGCAGUAGGGAAUAUUGGACAAUGGGCGAAAGCCUGAUCCAGCAAUGCCGCGUGAGUGAUGAAGGCCUUAGGUUGUAAAGCUCUUUUACCCGAGAUGAUAAUGACAGUAUCGGAGAAUAAGCCCCGACUAACGUCCGUGCCAGCAGCCGC